CCUACGGGGGGCUGCAGUGAGGAAUAUUGGACAAUGGGCGCAAGCCUGAUCCAGCCAUGCCGCGUGAGUGAUGAAGGCCUUCGGGUUGUAAAGCUCUUUCAGAUGCGAAGAUAAUGACGGUAACAUCAGAAGAAGCCCCGGCUAAAUUCGUGCCAGCAGCCGCGGUAAUACGAAUGGGGCAAGCGUUGUUCGGAAUCACUGGGCUUAAAGCGUGCGCAGGCGGAUUUGCAAGUUGGGAGUGAAAUCCCCGGGCUUAACCCGGGAAUUGCUCUCAA
rnacentral:rRNA from 1 species